GUUUCAGGUGCUGGCAACAAUAUCCACUGGACCUAGGAGUUCGAGCUCUAGUGAAUUGGGAGCCAGGAUUCCAAGCAAGCUCUUCACUUCACACUGUGCUUCUUCAGUCAACCUUGCAACCAAUGGCUCUUCUCACUAGAUCCAGGCAAGGAAACACACAGCUGCAGUUCCAGUUCACUUUACAGAUGAGGAAACUGAGGAA